UACGAAGGGGGCUAGCGUUGCUCGGAAUUACUGGGCGUAAAGGGCGCGUAGGCGGACAUUUAAGUUAGAGGUGAAAGCCCAGGGCUCAACCCUGGAAUAGCCUUUAAUACUGGAUGUCUUGAGUUCGGGAGAGGUGAGUGGAACUCCGAGUGUAGAGGUGAAAUUCGUAGAUAUUCGGGAAGAAACACCAGUGGCGAAGGCGACUCACUGGCCCGAUACUGACGCUGAGGCGCGAAAGCGUGGGGAGCAAACAGG
rnacentral:rRNA from 1 species